rnacentral:rRNA from 1 species
ACGGGGUGCAGCAGGCGCGAAACCUUUACACUGCACGCGAGUGCGAUAAGGGGACUCCGAGUGCGAGGGCAUAUAGUCUUCGCUUUUCACGACCGUAAGGUGGUCGUAGAAUAAGUGCUGGGCAAGACCGGUGCCAGCCGCCGCGGUAAUACCGGCAGCACGAGUGAUGACCGCUAUUAUUGGGCCUAAAGCGUCCGUAGCUGGCCACGCAAGUCUAUCGGGAAAUCCGCGCGCUUAACGCGCGGGCGUCCGGUGGAAACUGUGGGGCUUGGGACCGGAAGACCAGAGGGGUACGUCCGGGGUAGGAGUGAAAUCCCGUAAUCCUGGACGGACCACCGGUGGCGAAAGCGCCUCUGGAAGACGGAUCCGACGGUGAGGGACGAAAGCUCGGGUCACGAACCGGAUUAGAUACCCCUGUAGUCC